UAUUUAAUACAUUUUGUUUACAGUCUAAACCUCAAAAAUGUUUCAGUUUCUCUUCUCAACCUAGAUUCACUUCUUCUUCCUCACCCAUAAUUUUUCCUUCACCCGAUUCACUUCUUCUUUUUUUCGUUUCUCCCUCUUUCUCUCUUCUAAUUCAAGGAUUAUGUUCCUCAUAUCCACCACAACCACUCAACUAUGGACUACGAAUCAUAUCGACGUCGCCGUAACCGCUAUCCCCAAAACAGAGAAGAAUCCGAUGGUUAUGGGGCUAAUGUUCAAACCCUCUCCACAGGAGUCUCAAAGAACCUUAUGAAACAUACUCUUCAAUGCCAAGUGAUGACAAAGACCUUUUGUUUAAACAGUUUGCGCAAGAUUUUAAUCUGGGAGCCACAAAUGAAAUCUAGAUGUCCAUCAAGAGUUUGACAGAGAGGCGGCGACUCAAUAUUCCAACACGUUAAGUGAGUGGAAGAAGAAGUGGAAACGCGGAGAAACUCCAAAGGGAAUAAACGACAAGGUGUACGAAGGGGUUGCAAGAGUAUUGGGCACAUCCCAAGACAAAGGAAACAUCUACCCAGAAAUCUAAGAAUCGGAAUAUCAAUCGAGGUGGCAAAGGGCUAGCAAUGCACAACGCAGGGUCAACAAGCUUCUAUACCUGUGGACUACAACUUACCAAACGAGAUGGUGUGGCUCCUGAUCACUUAACGUUGAUGGUAGACACCACACCAACAAAAAGACCAAGCAAAUUCAAGACCCUUUAGCUAAGGAAGUGAUUGGCAAUUCUCGUAAGAGGAUGGAGGAGUUUAGCUUAUCUCAACCUUCAGUCGAUGGAAAUGGCUUACCAACACCAAUCCCCGUCGACAUGAUUAACCAAUUCGUUCUUGAGGAAACUCCAUAAACCAAGGGUCGAAUCUUUGGAUUAGGAAAAGUUUCAAAAAUACUUUGUACUUGUUUAUCAUCUUCAUUACCAAUAUAUGGUCGUGAUCCUAAACUUGUGCGAGCCCUCCAUGAGAAAGAUGACCGUAUCGAAGCUUUUAAGAAGAUGAUGGAAAAAAGAGAAUGAGCGGAACAAGCUGAGAGAUGAGGAGCUUGCGUCUUUCAUGGCAGAGAUGCGAUCAAAGUUCCUUGUGAAUUCAAUUUCUUAGAGAUAUAUGACUACAAUAUUUAAGAUUUAUUGACCAUUUUCUUUUUCUUUUUGAUUUGUGUAUAUUGCAUUUUCUUUUUGGGAUUGUAACGCUCGUUCCCGAAAAAAUAUGAAUAUUAGAUUUUUAUAUUGGGAAUUGAAGUGGAUUUGGUUU